CUCACCAGGCACGGCGAUGGAAAGAGGUCCUAAAAUAAUUUACGAUAAUACGACGUAGCGACUUCUUAUCGAAUCUUCUCGAGAUACCUUUUUAGAAAGACAGAUCUCGAAUUAUCGAACGAUACGUUAGAGAGGGUAAAUACAAAAAUACCGAGGAUGAUUUACCGAUCGAGGAAACGUGCUCCGGUUUACCAGCGUACAUGGUCGCGUUGGCCAAUAACGGAGCUCUAUCUCUUGCAUUUAAUACGUAAGCUCGACCAGCGGCUUUAUCGUAAAUCGUCAUGAGAAAUCCACCGCCCAAACCCAAGCUCUGCAUGUUUACAAGACCGUUGCAGAUCAUAGAGGCGAUCGUUGCGUCUACCGCCGAGCCAUUUCUUUCCAAGAUAUUUCUGUUAUGGGGAAAAAAUAAAAGUAAGAUUAUUGU